rnacentral:rRNA from 1 species
AUUGAACGCUGGCGGCAUGCUUUACACAUGCAAGUCGAACGGCAGCACAGGGAGCUUGCUCCUGGGUGGCGAGUGGCGAACGGGUGAGUAAUGUAUCGGAACGUGCCUGGUAGUGGGGGAUAACUACUCGAAAGAGUGGCUAAUACCGCAUGAGAUCUUUGGAUGAAAGCGGGGGACCUUCGGGCCUCGUGCUACUGGAGCGGCCGAUAUCAGAUUAGGUUGUUGGUGGGGUAAAGGCCUACCAAGCCUGCGAUCUGUAGCUGGUCUGAGAGGACGACCAGCCACACUGGGACUGAGACACGGCCCAGACUCCUACGGGAGGCAGCAGUGGGGAAUUUUGGACAAUGGGCGCAAGCCUGAUCCAGCAAUGCCGCGUGCAGGACGAAGGCCUUCGGGUUGUAAACUGCUUUUGUACAGAACGAAAAGUCUCUGGCUAAUAUCUAGAGAUCAUGACGGUAAUGUAAGAAUAAGCACCGGCUAACUACGUG